GUUCUUGGAUUUGAAUUGAUUACUCGGUUCACCUCAGAUUGAGCCAAAUUAGGGCUUAAUUGAUAAACUUGGCCCAAUCUUCUAAUUACCUGCAAAAUAUAUCAAGAAGCAUCAAAUUUCAUUUGAUAAAUAUUAAAUAUUACAAUAUUUGGUGCUUUUAUUAUUAUAAAUUAUGUGUUCAUCAUGCGUUUAUUGGAUU
rnacentral:lncRNA from 1 species